GACGAACGCUGGCGGCGUGCUUAACACAUGCAAGUCGAACGGAAAGGCCCUGCUUUUGUGGCGUGCUCGAGUGGCGAACGGGUGAGUAAAACGUGAGUAUCCUGCCCUUGUCUUUGGGAUAACUUCAGGAAACUGGGGCUAAUACCGGAUAGGAGCUCCUGCUGCAUGGUGUGGGUUGGAAAGUUUCGGCGGUUGGGGAUGGACUCGCGGCUUAUCCGCUUGUUGGUGGGGUAGUGGCUUACAAAGGCUUUGACGGGUAGCCGGCCUGGGAGGGUGACCGGCCACAUUGGGACUGAGAUACGGACCAGUCGCCUACGGGAGGCAGCAGGGGGGAAUAUUGCACAAUGGGCGGAAGCCUGAUGCAGCAACGCCGCGUGCGGGAUGACGGCCUUCGGGUUGUAAACCGCUUUCGCCUGUGACGAAGCGUGAGUGACGGUAAUGGGUAAAGAAGCACCGGCUAACUACGUG
rnacentral:rRNA from 1 species